rnacentral:rRNA from 1 species
GUGCCAGCAGCCGCGGUAAUACAGAGGGUGCAAGCGUUAAUCGGAAUGACUGGGCGUAAAGGGCGUGUAGGUGGCACUAUAAGUUAGAUGUGAAAUCCCUGGGCUUAACCUAGGAAGGUCAUCUAAUACUGUAGAGCUAGAGUAUAGGAGAGGGAAGUGGAAUUUCCGGUGUAGCGGUGAAAUGCGUAGAUAUCGGAAGGAACACCAGUGGCGAAGGCGGCUUUCUGGCCUAAUACUGACACUGAGGCGCGAAAGCGUGGGUAGCGAACAGGAUUAGAAACCCCUGUAGUCC